GUGGGGAAUCUUAGACAAUGGGCGCAAGCCUGAUCUAGCCAUGCCGCGUGAGCGAUGAAGGCCUUAGGGUUGUAAAGCUCUUUCGUGGGGGAAGAUAAUGACUGUACCCCAAGAAGAAGCCCCGGCUAACUCCGUGCCAGCAGCCGCGGUAAUACGGAGGGGGCUAGCGUUGUUCGGAAUUACUGGGCGUAAAGCGCACGUAGGCGGACUGGAAAGUCAGGGGUGAAAUCCCGGGGCUCAACCCCGGAACUGCCUUUGAAACUCCCAGUCUUGUGUUCGAGAGAGGGGAGGGGAAGUCCGGGUGUAGAGGUGAAAUUCGUAGAUAUUCGGAGGAACACCAGUGGCGAAGGCGGCUCACUGGCUCGAUACUGACGCUGAGGUGCGAAAGCGUGGGGAGCAAACAGGAUUAGAAACCCUGGUAGUCC
rnacentral:rRNA from 1 species